rnacentral:rRNA from 1 species
AGAAUUUGAUCUGGUUCAGGAUGAACGCUAGCUACAGGCUUAACACAUGCAAGUCGAGGGGCAGCAUGAUCAAGCUUGCUUGAUGAUGGCGACCGGCGCACGGGUGAGUAAUGCGUAUCCAACCUUCCCUAUAGUAGAGGAUAGCCCGGCGAAAGUCGGAUUAAUACUCUAUGUUUUCCAAUGCAGACAUCUAAAAUGGAACAAAGGUUUACCGCUAUAGGAUGGGGAUGCGUCUGAUUAGGUAGUCGGCGGGGUAACGGCCCACCGAGCCAUCGAUCAGUAGGGGUUCUGAGAGGAAGGUCCCCCACAUUGGAACUGAGACACGGUCCAAACUCCUACGGGAGGCAGCAGUGAGGAAUAUUGGUCAAUGGACGAGAGUCUGAACCAGCCAAGUAAGCGUGCAGGAUGACGGCCCUAUGGGUUGUAAACUGCUUUUAUGCGGGGAUAAAGUGGGGAACGUGUUCCCUUUUGUAGGUACCGCAUGAAUAAGGACCGGCUAAUUCCGUGCCAGCCGCCGC